GUUUAGAAAUUUACACAGCAAGACUAAAACUUGCUGGCUACAUUACUGAACUAAAGUCUAUUUAACUAUGAGUUUAUGAGAUCAAGUGCUUAUAACCAUUUUCCAUGAUGAAGAGUGGUUGGGUGAUAUUUUAACAGAAAAAGCUACAUUUUUAUACCCACCUGAUGAGAUUCUUUACUUGUCUCCAAGUCUACAGGGAUGUUAGUGAACAUGUAACAUUUACUGCCACGCAAGAAACGCUUUGAACAGUUGAAAUAAAAAAUAUGGGUUUAUGGAUAAAGAUUCUCAACUAAAAUGCAUUGCAAUAUCACAAACGAGUGGAUGCCGUUUGCAAAAGUUUUUUCAUAAUCUAAAGUUUAGGAAAUGAAGCAAAAUCAUUAUGCUGCCCAUUGAUACAGUUGUGUUAAA